GACGAACGCUGGCGGCGUGCUUAACACAUGCAAGUCGAACGGAAAGGCCCUGCUUUUGUGGGGUUCUCGAGUGGCGAACGGGUGAGUAACACGUGAGUAACCUGCCCUUGACUUUGGGAUAACUUCAGGAAACUGGGGCUAAUACCGGAUAGGAGCUCCUGCUGCAUGGUGGGGGUUGGAAAGUUUCGGCGGUUGUGGAUGGACUCGCGGCUUAUCAGCUUGUUGGUGUGGUAGUGGCUUACCAAGGCUUUGACGGGUAGCCGGCCUGAGAGGGUGACCGGCGACAUGGGGACUGAGAGAGGGACCAGAAGCGUACGGGAGGCAGUAGGGGAGAAUAUGGCACAAUGGGGGGAAGCGUGAGGAAAAAACGCCGGGAGCGGGAUGACGGCCUUCGGGUUGUGAACCGCUUUGGCCUGUGACGAAGCGUUAGUGACGGUAAUGGGUAAAGAAGCACCGGCUAACUACGUG
rnacentral:rRNA from 1 species